UGGGGAAUUUUGGACAAUGGGCGCAAGCCUGAUCCAGCCAUACCGCGUGAGUGAAGAAGGCCUUCGGGUUGUAAAGCUCUUUCAGACGGAAAGAAACGGUUACGGCUAAUACCCGUGACUAAUGACGGUACCGUAAGAAGAAGCACCGGCUAACUACGUGCCAGCAGCCGCGGUAAUACGAAGGGGGCUAGCGUUGUUCGGAAUUACUGGGCGUAAAGCGCACGUAGGCGGAUUGUUAAGUCAGGGGUGAAAUCCCGGAGCUCAACUUCGGAACUGCCUUUGAUACUGGCAAUCUAGAGUCCGGAAGAGGUUAGUGGAAUUCUCGGUGUAGAGGUGAAAUUCGUAGAUAUCGAGAGGAACACCGGUGGCGAAGGCGGCCAACUGGACGAAUACUGACGCUGAGACUCGAAAGCGUGGGGAGCAAACAGGAUUAGAUACCCAAGUAGUCCCUGAGCGGGCUGGCAAGGCGCAU
rnacentral:rRNA from 1 species